UAUGUAUUUUCAGGGUUCACAUGUUUUGCUCAUCUUUAGCUAUAACAUUUAUUUUUUCCUUAACAUAUAGAUGCGCCUACAUGCUAUUAGUCUUAGUCAAUGAUUUAUCAUAAUCUUUUGUUUUUCUGUAUCAUUGUAUGUACCAGAUGCUUCAGAUGUUUGCUAGAGUAUGCAAAUCCCUUGCAGUCAUGGCAUGCGAGAGGGAAAAAUAAGUCAUUAGAACUUGUAGGCUUAUUUAGUUUUAUUUAUUUAUUUAUUUUAAACCACUAUCUGUUUGGGAUCACUUCUGUAUGAUUUUCACAUACUUCAGCACACGGUUUAUCAUCUUCACAAACUUCCAAUCUAUGUAAGAAGGUUUACCAUACUGCCCUUUAUCAAUGUUCACUGGCUGCCUAGCUAUUCCAAAUACCAGUGCAACUCAUUAGUUUUCGACUAACUAGCAUAUGCCAUUUUUACAGAAGCAAAAGUUGCUCAAUUCACAUCCGCUACAAUUUGGUUUGGUGAAGAGAUUUUGGAAAUAUCUGCUGGAACAUGAGGCAUUAUCUACGAGGAUUCAACCUGGAUUGGAACAAAAGAUUGUUCUUCUGCGAGAUUUGUAUCUUCAGAUUGGAUUGGAGGGCGAGCAGCUAAAUAUUUUCUCUAACCUUUGAGG